GCUCUCGGGUGACGAGCGGCGGACGGGUGAGUAAUGUCUGGGAAACUGCCUGAUGGAGGGGGAUAACUACUGGAAACGGUAGCUAAUACCGCAUAACGUCGCAAGACCAAAGUGGGGGACCUUCGGGCCUCAUGCCAUCAGAUGUGCCCAGAUGGGAUUAGCUAGUAGGUGGGGUAACGGCUCACCUAGGCGACGAUCCCUAGCUGGUCUGAGAGGAUGACCAGCCACACUGGAACUGAGACACGGUCCAGACUCCUACGGGAGGCAGCAGUGGGGAAUAUUGCACAAUGGGCGCAAGCCUGAUGCAGCCAUGCCGCGUGUGUGAAGAAGGCCUUCGGGUUGUAAAGCACUUUCAGCGGGGAGGAAGGCGAUAAGGUUAAUAACCUUGUCGAUUGACGUUACCCGCAGAAGAAGCACCGGCUAACUCCGUGCCAGCAGCCGCGGUAAUACGGAGGGUGCAAGCGUUAAUCGGAAUUACUGGGCGUAAAGCGCACGCAGGCGGUCUGUCAAGUCGGAUGUGAAAUCCCCGGGCUCAACCUGGGAACUGCAUUCGAAACUGGCAGGCUAGAGUCUUGUAGAGGGGGGUAGAAUUCCAGGUGUAGCGGUGAAAUGCGUAGAGAUCUGGAGGAAUACCGGUGGCGAAGGCGGCCCCCUGGACAAAGACUGACGCUCAGGUGCGAAAGCGUGGGGAGCAAACAGGAUUAGAUACCCUGGUAGUCCACGCCGUAAACGAUGUCGAUUUGGAGGUUGUGCCCUUGAGGCGUGGCUUCCGGAGCUAACGCGUUAAAUCGACCGCCUGGGGAGUACGGCCGCAAGGUUAAAACUCAAAUGAAUUGACGGGGGCCCGCACAAGCGGUGGAGCAUGUGGUUUAAUUCGAUGCAACGCGAAGAACCUUACCUGGUCUUGACAUCCACAGAACUUGCCAGAGAUGGCUUGGUGCCUUCGGGAACUGUGAGACAGGUGCUGCAUGGCUGUCGUCAGCUCGUGUUGUGAAAUGUUGGGUUAAGUCCCGCAACGAGCGCAACCUUAUCCUUUGUUGCCAGCGGUUAGGCCGGGAACUCAAAGGAGACUGCCAGUGAUAAACUGGAGGAAAGUGGGGAUGACGUCAAGUCAUCAUGGGCCUUACAACAGGGGUACCC
rnacentral:rRNA from 1 species